rnacentral:lncRNA from 8 species
AUGAUUUUAGAGCCUGCAAUCUCCAAAGAAAAAGUCAAGACAAGCACUACCAAGACAACCACAAGCACUUCCAAGAAAGUUGUUUCAGAACCUGAGCCCCUAAAAGAGAAAGCCACUCCAAGAAUCCCCACUAUGAGGAAAGGUAACCACACAAACGUAGUGGUGCCAAUGGUAAAAGCCAUGGUAAGAGUUGUCACUUCAAGACCCAUCCCUACAACAAAAGCUCCUGCAGUGAAGGAGGAGAAGCUAUCCAAGGAACCUGAGACAGAAGACAAGGUAAAGGAUGUGAAGACAUCAGAUGCCAAAGCUAAAACCACACCCUCUGUGAAGACAGCCCAGCCCACUAAACCACAUAAAGCUGAGAAGACUGAGAAUAAAGCUGUGAAGGAGGCUAAAGAGAAAGAAGUGAAGCCUCCUGGUAUAGCAAAAGAAUCUCAGACUGACGAGAAUGCCAUGGACAAGAAGAAGCCAGGUCAGAAAGUAUUGCAGUGUGUUUUAAUGGUUGGAAAGAAUGCCCACUACCCUUUGCGACCUUCCACCCCUGGUAUGACCCCUGUGUCGAUGAGCCCAGCCAUGCGGUCCAUGAUGUUGCAGCAGGCGCAGCAGCAGAAAGCCAGAGCAGCGGGGCAGUAG